rnacentral:rRNA from 1 species
UGGGGAAUAUUGGACAAUGGGCGCAAGCCUGAUCCAGCCAUGCCGCGUGAGUGAUGAAGGCCUUAGGGUUGUAAAGCUCUUUCGGCGGGGAAGAUAAUGACGGUACCCGCAGAAGAAGCCCCGGCUAACUUCGUGCCAGCAGCCGCGGUAAUACGAAGGGGGCUAGCGUUGCUCGGAAUCACUGGGCGUAAAGCGCACGUAGGCGGCUUACUAAGUCAGGGGUGAAAUCCUGGAGCUCAACUCCAGAACUGCCUUUGAUACUGGUGAGCUUGAGUUCGGGAGAGGUUAGUGGAACUGCGAGUGUAGAGGUGAAAUUCGUAGAUAUUCGCAAGAACACCAGUGGCGAAGGCGGCUCACUGGCCCGAUACUGACGCUGAGGUGCGAAAGCGUGGGGAGCAAACA